UUAGAUACCCUGGUAGUCCACGCCGUAAACGUUGGGCGCUAGAUGUGGGGACCAUUCCACGGUUUCCGUGUCGCAGCUAACGCAUUAAGCGCCCCGCCUGGGGAGUACGGCCGCAAGGCUAAAACUCAAAGGAAUUGACGGGGGCCCGCACAAGCGGCGGAGCAUGCGGAUUAAUUCGAUGCAACGCGAAGAACCUUACCAAGGCUUGACAUAUACGAGAACGGGCCAGAAAUGGUCAACUCUUUGGACACUCGUAAACAGGUGGUGCAUGGUUGUCGUCAGCUCGUGUCGUGAGAUGUUGGGUUAAGUCCCGCAACGAGCGCAACCCUCGUUCUAUGUUGCCAGCACGUAAUGGUGGGAACUCAUAGGAGACUGCCGGGGUCAACUCGGAGGAAGGUGGGGAUGACGUCAAAUCAUCAUGCCCCUUAUGUCUUGGGCUUCACGCAUGCUACAAUGGCCGGUACAAAGGGCUGCAAUACCGUAAGGUGGAGCGAAUCCCAAAAAGCCGGUCUCAGUUCGGAUUGAGGUCUGCAACUCGACCUCAUGAAGUCGGAGUCGCUAGUAAUCGCAGAUCAGCAACGCUGCGGUGAAUACGUUCCCGGGCCUUGUACACACCGCCCGUCAAGUCAUGAAAGUCGGUAACACCCGAAGCCGGUGGCCCAACCCUUGUGGAGGGAGC
rnacentral:rRNA from 1 species